CGGAGAGGGCGCCUGAGACAAGGUUCCAGGUCCUACGGGACGCAGCAGGCGCGAAAACUCCGCAAUACACGAAAGUGUGACGGGGCUAUCCCGAGUGCCAUCCGCUGAGGAUGGCUUUUCCCCAGUGUAUAAAGCUGGGGGAAUAAGGAGAGGGCAAGCCUGGUGUCAGCCGCCGCGGUAAUACCAGCUCUCCGAGUGGUGGGGAUGUUUAUUGGGCCUAAAGCAUUCGUAGCCUGCUUGGCAAGUCCUCCGUUAAAUCCAACGAUUCAAUCGUUGGGCUGCGGGGGAUACUGUCCGGCUAGGGGGCGGGAGAGGCCGACGGUAUCCCCGGGGUAGGGGUGAAAUCCUAUAAUCCCGGGAGGACCACCAGUGGCGAAGGCUGUCGGCUAGAACGCGCUCGACGGUGAGGGACGAAAGCUGGGGGAGCGAACCGGAUUAGAUACCCGGGUAGUCCCAGCCGUAAACGAUGCGGGCUAGGUGUUGAGGUGGCUACGAGCCACUUCAGUGCCGCAGGGAAGCCAU
rnacentral:rRNA from 1 species